GAUGAACGCUGGCGGCGUGCCUAAUACAUGCAAGUCGAGCGAACAGACGAGGAGCUUGCUCCUCUGACGUUAGCGGCGGACGGGUGAGUAACACGUGGAUAACCUACCUAUAAGACUGGGAUAACUUCGGGAAACCGGAGCUAAUACCGGAUAAUAUAUUGAACCGCAUGGUUCAAUAGUGAAAGACGGUUUUGCUGUCACUUAUAGAUGGAUCCGCGCCGCAUUAGCUAGUUGGUAAGGUAACGGCUUACCAAGGCAACGAUGCGUAGCCGACCUGAGAGCGCGGUAGGCGACAGUGGGGCGACGAAGCAGCAGGGGCGCCGACGGGAGGCGGAAGGAGGUGGAGGUCGGAAAGUGGUGAGAACGUGACAAAACGGCGUCAAGUGAGAGAUAAAGGUCUACGUAUCGUGAAACUCGGUGAGUAGAGAAAAAAAAAGGUGCACGUAGCUGAGCCCGUCGGGACGGUAACUAAUAAGAAAGCGAGGGCUAAAUACGUG
rnacentral:rRNA from 1 species